rnacentral:rRNA from 1 species
UAGUCCACGCCGUAAACGAUGAGUGCUAAGUGUUAGAGGGUUUCCGCCCUUUAGUGCUGCAGCAAACGCAUUAAGCACUCCGCCUGGGGAGUACGGCCGCAAGGCUGAAACUCAAAGGAAUUGACGGGGGGCCCGCACAAGCGGUGGAGCAUGUGGUUUAAUUCGAAGCAACGCGAAGAACCUUACCAGGUCUUGACAUCCUCUGACACCUCUGGAGACAGAGCUUUCCCCUUCGGGGGACAGAGUGACAGGUGGUGCAUGGUUGUCGUCAGCUCGUGUCGUGAGAUGUUGGGUUAAGUCCCGCAACGAGCGCAACCCUUGUCCCUAGUUGCCAGCAUUUAGGAUGGGAACUCUAGGGAGACUGCCGGUGACAAACCGGGAGGAAGGUGGGGAUGGACGUCAAGUCAUCAUGGGCCCUUAUGGGGUAGGGGCUACACACGUGCUACAAUGGUCGGUACAGAGGGUUGCCAAGCCGCGAGGUGGAGCUAAUCUCAU